CGACAUGUAUUUUGGGACGGAGAGAGUAUUAUGUAAAGGUGAAUUUUUUUUUCUAAAAUAAGUCAUUAUUUUCGUCAUUUAAGACGAAAAUAUUCAAGUAAUUGUUUUGAAAAGGUAGAGGUAUAAGUAUCAAUAGUAAAUUAAAUUGAGUUGUGUGUAUAUGUAUAUUAGUCGAACAUUGAAAAUUGAAUUUCAAUGAUAUUCAAAGAAAAAAUAUUCAAGUAAUUAUUUUGAAAAGGUAGAGGGACAAGUAUUUUGUGAUAAUUUUUUUUCCUUAAAGCGAUAUGUAUUUUGCGACGGAGGGAGUUACUACGUAAAGGUGAAUUUUUUUUUUCCCGAAAUAAGACAUUAUUUUCGUCAUUUAAGACGGCCAAACAUGCUCAAAGUAAUGCAUUGCAGAUUUUAGUAUGAAAGGCUGAAAAGUUCUUGCAUAGAUUGACGGUCUAGUAUGGGUGUAUGGCAGUGCAAACAAAAUAUAUAUGAAGAAAAGAAUCACAUUGAUAUGAAUAAACACAGAGAUAAAUAUGAGUCAAGCGAUAAAC
rnacentral:lncRNA from 1 species